AAUAUUACUUUGCAGAACAUGUUAGAACCUUUUAAACUUGUCUUUACAUAAACAUCUUUUGGACCGUUUGUAGCUUUGAACACCUCGUGUUGGAAACCAACAUCUAAAAUGUUAUUUUGCACUUUAGAUCUGUAAAAUCGGAUUGCCGGUUAAUUAUAUAAAAAUGCUUUAUUUUUGUUAAUUUGAUUACUCGGUCGUGACAACGCGGGACCUGGCAGUGUAACUGAACUCAUCUAUAGUUAGCAUGCGUUAUAAAAUGUAGCCAUUUUCAUCGUGAUGUGGAGCAGGGGGGGCUCGCGAGAUGUUGAAAGGAGGGAAGGAGGGAAGGAAGGGGAAAAAAACAGGAUAUGGAAGGCAAAAAAAUCGGGAAGAAAAAAAACGGGACAUGGGGGACAAAAAACCUGUCUUAAACCUACUGCGCAAGUUUUGACUGAAUACACCGUCAAACUGUAACCACCGCGCGAUAAUACUAAAGUUUCCUGUUGAUUGCCUUCUGCCAUGCAGUGGAAUUAUCUGAGAUCUGAGUUCUAUGAAGCAUUGGACAAACACUCUACACGUUUGAAAUUCUGCAUCAAGUUGAUUUAAAGUCAUCUGAUGUAACUUGUGUGCGCACCGCAGUACUUCAUGGCCUUCCAAUCCUCCUGUGGGAUUAUUCUGUGGAAUUUUCACGACAUUCUUUGAUUCAGAUGUGAAUGUAGACCUGAGUGCAGUUGAUGUUGGCCUGCUCACAGUUUUACCAGAAGACAUGCCUGCCCAAACUCCACAUCCCCUCAAUGUCGACUCAUUAAAGGCAAUCAUUCUUGAGGGAAAAAUUGUUGUGGGUGAUGUCCCAAACUUGCCAUAUGCUGUGUUUUUCUGCAUGUUGCCUAUUUUUAAAAAAAAGCUGUUUUUGCAGUUAUUUGAUGUCAAGUGGCAGUUAUUGAUUAGUCAAAGUCCCCAUGCUGUUUAGAUAGAAGUAUAUAUUAAUACUAUAUAUAUUUAGUAUUUCUACUUCAUUGUUCUUAAAAAUCUGUGUUGUUUAUUAAUUUGUUUAUUAAAAAAAUUCAGAGUUUUA